GUGAAUCAUCGAAUCUUUGAACGCAUAUUGCAAUCUUUGGUAUUCCGGAGAGUAUGCCUGUUUGAGGGUAAUUAAAAAGAAUAUUUACCAAUUUUUUUUGGUAAAAGGAAAUGAUUUCUCCGCGUUUAUAGCGGUAGCUUGAAAUAAAUGGUAAAGUCUCAUUUACGUAGAGACGUGUAAUAUAAUUAUUUCGUGAAAUAUUCAUUAUGUGAUUAUCAAGUUUUGAUGCAUACAAAUUUGGUUUGUAUGCGAUUCAAAUAAAUAUUUUGUA
rnacentral:misc_RNA from 1 species